UACGUAGGGUGCAAGCGUUGUCCGGAAUUAUUGGGCGUAAAGAGCUCGUAGGCGGUUCGUCGCGUCGGCUGUGAAAACCUGAGGUUCAACCUCAGGCCUGCAGUCGAUACGGGCGGACUUGAGUACUGCAGGGGAGACUGGAAUUCCUGGUGUAGCGGUGAAAUGCGCAGAUAUCAGGAGGAACACCGGUGGCGAAGGCGGGUCUCUGGGCAGUAACUGACGCUGAGGAGCGAAAGCGUGGGGAGCGAACAGG
rnacentral:rRNA from 1 species